AGCCUCGUGGUGUAUAACAUGGCGGAUUGCAAAUCCGAGGAAGCAGAUUGAGAUCUGCCGGGGCUU
rnacentral:tRNA from 1 species